rnacentral:rRNA from 1 species
UACAGAGGGGGCAAGCGUUGUUCGGAAUUACUGGGCGUAAAGAGCGCGUAGGCGGUCGUUCAAGUCGAGUGUGAAAGCCCCCGGCUCAACUGGGGAGGGUCACUCGAUACUGAUCGACUUGAAGGCAGGAGAGGGAAGCGGAAUUCCCGGUGUAGUGGUGAAAUGCGUAGAUAUCGGGAGGAACACCAGUGGCGAAGGCGGCUUCCUGGCC